rnacentral:rRNA from 1 species
UACGGAGGGUGCGAGGCGUUGUCCGGAAUCACUGGGCGUAAAGGGCGCGUAGGCGGCUUCUCAAGCGUGUGGUGAAAGUCCGGGGCUCAACCCCGGAUCGGCCGUGCGGACUGGGGAGCUCGAGUUCUGUAGAGGCGGGUGGAAUUCCGGGUGUAGCGGUGGAAUGCGUAGAGAUCCGGAAGAACACCGGUGGCGAAGGCGGCCCGCUGGGCAGAGACUGACGCUGAGGCGCGACAGCGUGGGGAGCAAACGAGG